GACGAACGCUGGCGGCGCGCCUAACACAUGCAAGUCGAACGGGCGAGAGAGAGCUUGCUUUCUCAAGCGAGUGGCGAACGGGUGAGUAACGCGUGAGGAACCUGCCUCAAAGAGGGGGACAACAGUUGGAAACGACUGCUAAUACCGCAUAAGCCCACAGGUCGGCAUCGACCAGAGGGAAAAGGAGCAAUCCGCUUUGAGAUGGCCUCGCGUCCGAUUAGCUAGUUGGUGAGGUAACGGCCCACCAAGGCAACGAUCGGUAGCCGGACUGAGAGGUUGAACGGCCACAUUGGGACUGAGACACGGCCCAGACUCCUACGGGAGGCAGCAGUGGGGAAUAUUGCACAAUGGGGGAAACCCUGAUGCAGCGACGCCGCGUGGAGGAAGAAGGUCUUCGGAUUGUAAACUCCUGUUGUUGAGGAAGAUAAUGACGGUACUCAACAAGGAAGUGACGGCUAACUACGUG
rnacentral:rRNA from 1 species